rnacentral:rRNA from 1 species
AGAGUUUGAUCCUGGCUCAGAACGAACGCUGGCGGCGUGCCUAACACAUGCAAGUCGAACGGGACUGGGGGCAACUCCAGUUCAGUGGCGGACGGGUGCGUAACACGUGAGGAACAUGACUUUCGGCGGGGGAUAGCCGGCCCAACGGCCGGGUAAUACCGCGUACGACCUCUCGGGGACAUCCCCGGUUGGUGAAAGCAGCAAUGCACCGAAAGAGUGUCUCGCGGCCUAUCAGCUAGUUGGUGAGGUAAUGGCUCACCAAGGCGACGACGGGUAGCUGGUCUGAGAGGAUGGCCAGCCACAUUGGGACUGAGACACGGCCCAGACUCCUACGGGAGGCAGCAGUGGGGAAUAUUGCGCAAUGGGCGAAAGCCUGACGCAGCGACGCCGCGUGUGGGAUGACGGCCUUCGGGUUGUAAACCACUGUCGGGAGGGACGAAUGCGCCGCAAGGCGAGUGACGGUACCUCCAAAGGAAGCACCGGCUAACUCCGUGCCAGCAGCCGCGGUAAUACGGAGGGUGCGAGCGUUGUCCGGAAUCACUGGGCGUAAAGGGCGCGUAGGCGGCCUGGUAAGUAGGGGGUGAAAUCCUGCGGCUUAACCGCAGGGCUGCCUUCUAAACUGUCAGGCUCGAGCACGGUAGAGGCAGAUGGAAUUCCCGGUGUAGCGGUGGAAUGCGUA